rnacentral:rRNA from 1 species
UGCAUGAAGUUGGAAUUGCUAGUAAUCGCGGAUCAGCAUGCCGCGGUGAAUACGUUCCCGGGGAUUGUACACACCGCCCGUCACACCAUGAGAGUCGGGAACACCCAAAGUCCGUAGUCUAACCGCAAGGAGGACGCGGCCUAAGGUGGGUUCGAUAAUUGGGGUGAAGUCGUAACAAGGUAUC